GCCUGGGUGGCUCAGUCAGUUUGAGCGUCCGACUUUGGCUCAGGUCAUGAUCUCACAGUUUGUGAGUUCGAGUCCCGCAUCGGGCU
rnacentral:tRNA from 1 species